rnacentral:lncRNA from 1 species
ACUGGGAUCAUUGUCACUUGAAAAAAAAUUACUGUGGUUGUGGGAGAAAGGUCUAGAUCUGUGCCACGAUAGAUAUGCAUUUCGAAUGUACGCCAUGUCUCCAUUUCAUUUGAGUUUUCCCUUUGUUUUCCUCACCACCAAAGAAUCUCAAAUGUAAAACUUCAUAUUGGGUUCUAACCACUGACUCAAAAGUCCAUUCUGAUAUAUGCAGUCAUUUUGAAUUUGGUCCUGUGCCUUCUCCGGAUCCCUUCCCUUCCCUUCUGCCUCCCUCACCCGCUCCCUCAGCCAUCCAUAGAGAGUUUGUAGGUGUUUCCAGGGAUGGAGGGGAUAUAAACAUUUGACCUCUCUCUCCAUCAGCAGAUUUGUUCAUUUGCUUUCUCUGUGAAACGCCAUGAUUGUCUAAACAAACCCCCCAGCCCUGAACCCCUCUGUAUCACAUCAACGGCCACUUGAAAGUGCUGCUGCCUGCCUUGUGGCCUCCACCCACCCUUCAGCCUGACUUGUAGGCACCGAUGUCCAACCCGUCGUGACUUGUGCUGUGUGAACAACCUCACUGAGGAUUUCCUCCCAGCGGAAAAGCAGCGAGCUCUGCGACUAUCCCAAAGCUAUGCCUCUGAACACGUUUUCUAUAUGCAAGAUUUGUGAAAACCGCCUCCUUCCCGUGCAGCGUGUCCCUCUGAAGUGCUUAGUUUCUUUUAACGAGAAGUAUCAUUCUUGCAUUGUGAUAGGGUCUCCGUUUACCUGAGGGUUGUUUGGAAAAUAAGAGCCAAUUUUUCUUAGGAUAUGUAAGUACAUUAAACGAGCAUUCUGACCUGUAGAUACAUAGUGUGCCAUGCGGCCAUAGCUCCUGGUGUCAAAUGCUAGGAGUAAAGAGUCUUCUUACAAAUUACUUUUCUCCUCUUUCCUGUCACCCUCUUUUUCACUAUUGUUUUUCCCCCAGACUGGAAUUUCCUCAGCCUUUUCUUGUCUUGCUUUGAAGUUUUGUUCAAUGUUCCUCCCCUCCUACCACUUCCACUUAAAUAAAGUCUUUAAGUAGCUGAAAGAUUAACAGUCUGGUGGGAGGCAAAG